rnacentral:misc_RNA from 1 species
ACAAACUUGGUCAUUUAGAGGAAGUAAAAGUCGUAACAAGGUCUCCGUAGGUGAACCUGCGGAGGGAUCAUUAACAAAUCAGCGCUCAUGCAGCAGCAGCAGCACUGUGCAACUGUCGCGUCCCGGGACACACGGGCCUGGGAUGCAUGCAACAACGAUUGUCAGAGGAGAGCAUCAUACACACGGGAACAUGGGGAGGAGACCCUGGACAACUUUUAACAAUGGAUCUCUAGGCUCUUGCAUCGAUGAAGAACGCAGC